AAAAGCGAAAAUUAAAACACAGUGCACACAGUCGAUAUAUUACUUGAAAGCACAACGCUACCAAAAACGUUACCAAAAAACAGACAAACACAUCUUUACUACUUUCCGUACACGCUUCCAAAUUAGGGCAGCUCUGAAACAAUUCAAUGUGCUCCCGGCGCCUGGUGCAAGCAAACACAGGCGAGCCCGGGCCCAUGGGUCCAGCCCCGGGGACAGUACUAUUUAAGCACCGCACCGCCAUGGAUCCGAAUCAUAAAAAAUUAGGAGCUGAAGAGGUGAGCGGUUACCAGAAUUUUACACAUGGGCGACAAGGAGAGGGUGUUGGCGCGGCACGAAGCGAGCGGAACCUGUCCCCAUUGCGGCGGAAAAGUGGCGGCGGUGGACGUCCGCCGUCCUUGGCGCCUCUGCUUCGUCCCCGUCGGCUUUGUGGUGAAGCGGAGGUACGCCUGCACGCAGUGCUCCCGGCGAUUGGUCGUCGCCUAUUCGUAGCAUUUCGUGACUUACCGCUUGCACUGAGAACGGAGGGGAUUCGAGGGAGUUUGAGGGCCUGGUACCACUGGCAGCAUUGUUCUUAUAUUUUCUCGGUUGCAAAUGAAUGUAUGCUUUUAAUUUUUUUUAAUAAAUUAAAAAAAUAGUAGUAUUUUAUCAA